UGCACUUUCGAUGAAAUCUUCAUCAGCGCUUAAUGAUGAUGAUGCAUUGAGUAGAAUGCUCAGUCGGGCAUCAGUCCAAACGAACGUUAAAAACAAUAUUGUGACGAAACAUGCAACCAAUGCAUUCAGCUUAUCCAAACACUUUCAGAUCAGCAGUCACUAUGGGAAGAUUUAUAGCAUGGUAGCCAGGUCGGUUUCUGCUCGAGACCCAGACCUUGCCGCCAGGCUAACCGGUGAAGGGAGCCAUGGUAGAGUAUUGGAGCGUAGCCCCUGUUACGUAACGUAGUACCAUAGUGAAAUGUAGCUGUUUUCUGUGUUCUAUUUGACCUUUCACCCCUAUUGAUCUCUCACCUCUUUCGCUUGGUCUCUGUGUGUUUGACAUGUUCCCACUACAAUUAAUAGUCAGUUUAAAAAGGAUAACUAUUUGACUGUAUAAAUAUACAUACAUAAUAUAUAGGUAUAUGAAUAUAGAUUAAUUUAACCGAUAGAUAGAUAACCAAGAGAAAACAGAUAGUCAAACGUUACUAUAGAUAAGGUUGAUCAUGAAUCAAAUUGAUAAGUGAUCUGGCCUUUUAUCCCCAACUCACCAGUCACUCCUCUAUAGUCAUUAUACACACGGACAGCUCCAGUGUUUUUGUCAAUUAUUGGAAUCCAGUGGCUUCAUCUUAGUGUGUGUUGUAUGCAUUGUCUUGACAUCAUAUCCUUCAUAUCUUCAUCAUAACCUGAUAGAUUUAGUCUCAUACCUUUAGACUGCAUUUAUUGUAUAAUGAAUGCUUUGAGUGAAUGCAGUGGGGUUGGGCUCAAUAUGGCAGUCAAUUCAGGAAGUAAACUGAAAUUCCAAUUCGAUGAUUGAAAUAGGGGCCUGUAUUUUUAAUGACUUCUUAAUGAAUUGAAAAGGAGAAGCUAUUUAUGUUUUUUAAGUAGCUGAUUUUAAAUUCAAAUCUCUUCCUGAAUUGGCAAUUCGAAUUGAGCCCAACCCUUGAAUGCAGAAGAGUAUCUAUAUGACACAUAUCUAUCUAAAGGACAUUCUAGUAUCCAACAGUAUAUAAGUAUAACUGGCAUAGCAAUGCUGUAACUUCAAUCAGUCCACACCUCUUAAACCUCACUAACACAUACUACUCAGUGCUUAUGGAAAUAUCAAUGCUUUGAGACGGACAGAUAAACAGACAGAUAAACAGACAGGUAGACAGACAGAUAAACAGACAAAUAGACAGACAGAUAAAGAGAUAGAUAGAUAGAUAAACAGAUAGACAGACAGAUAAAGAGAUAGAUAGACAGAUAACAGACAGACAGAUAAACAGACAGACAGACAGAUAAACAGACAGAUAGACAGACAGAUAAACAGACAGAUAAACAGAUAGAUAAACAGACAGACAGAUAGACAGACAGAUAAACAGACAGACAGACAGACAGAUAAACAGACAGAUAGAUAGAUAAACAGACAGAUAAACAGACAGACAGAUAGACAGACAGAUAGACAGACAGACAGAUAAACAGACAGAUAAACAGAUAGAUAAACAGACAGACAGAUAGACAGACAGAUAAACAGACAGAUAAACAGACAGAUAGACAGACAGAUAAACAGACAGAUAAAGACAGAUAGAUAACAGACAGAUAACAGACAGAUAAACAGACAGACAGAUAGACAGACAGAUAAACAGACAGACAGAUAGACAGACAGAUAAACAGACAGAUA
ensembl:lncRNA